CGUCUAGGCGGGGAAUUAAGUUAGGUGUGAAAUCCAUGGGCUCAACUCGUGAAUUGCAUCUAAAACUGGUUCUCUUGAGUUCGGGAGAGGAGAGCAGAAUUCCUGGUGUAGCGGUGAAAUGCGUAGAUAUCAGGAGGAAUACCAGUGGCGAAGGCGGCUCUCUGGCCUAGGACUGACGCUGAAGCGCGAAAGCGUGGGGAGCGAACG
rnacentral:rRNA from 1 species